AGUCUGGUGCCAGCAGCCGCGGUAAUUCCAGCUCCAAUAGCGUAUAUUAAAAUUGUUGCAGUUAAAAAGCUCGUAGUUGAAUUUUUGCUAGAAAUAACCGGUCUGCUUUUAUUUAUAAGAGUGGUAUCUUGGUGUGCUUUUAGCAAUAAUAUCCUUUGGAAUGUUUUUUACUUUAUUGUAAAAAGCAAUUUUGAGGAUUUUUACUUUGAGAAAAUUAGAGUGUUUCAAGCAGGCUAACGUUUUGAAUACUGCAGCAUGGAAUAAUAAAAUAGGAUUUUAGUUCUACGUUAUUGGUUUUAAGAACUAAAUUAAUGAUUGAUAGGAGCAGUUGGGGGCAUUUGUAUUUAACUGUCAGAGGUGAAAUUCUUAGAUUUGUUAAAGACACACUACUGCGAAAGCAUUUGCCAAAGAUGUUUUCAUUAAUCAAGAACGAAAGUUAGGGGAUCGAAGACGAUCAGAUACCGUCGUAGUCCUAACCAUAAACUA
rnacentral:rRNA from 1 species